rnacentral:rRNA from 1 species
GAAAUCAAUUGAUACUCCCCUAGUAGCGGCGAGCGAACGGGGACCAGCCGAGCCAUGAGUGUGGUUAGAAUGCGUUGGAAUGCGCAACCAAAGUGGGUGAUAGUCCCGUAUAAGAAGCAUGAUUGGACGUAUUAAGUAGGGCGGAACACGUGAAAUUCUGUCUGAAGAUCGGAGGACCACCUUCGAAGGCUAAGUACUCCUUACUGACCGAUAGUGAACCAGUACCGUGAGGGAAAGGUGAAAAGCACCCCGAUUAGGGGAGUGAAACAGUACCUGAAACCGG